UAUAUACUCUCUCCAAUCCAUAUUGCUUGUCUUAUAUUUUUCUAGAUAUAGAUGUAUCUAGACAUGUUUCAGUGUUGGGUACAUUCAUAACUACACAAAUAUAAGACAAAUAAUAUGGAUCUGAAUGAGUACCAA
rnacentral:pre_miRNA from 1 species